GUCUAUGGCCAUACCACCCUGAAUGUGCCCAGUCUCAUCUGAUCUUGGAAGAUAAGCAGGGCUGGACCUGGUUAGUGCUUGGAUGGGAGAACUGCAGCUAUGUGGCAAAGUCA
ensembl:rRNA 5S_rRNA 5S ribosomal RNA